UCAGGGUGAAGUUAGCAUUCUGCUUCUUUCACAGCUGAGCUGGGUGCCUCUCUCACACCCUAGAUCCUCUGUUACCCUUUGCCAUGGCCACCAGCGUCAGACAAUAUUCUUCUUCGACCUCCCUGAAGGGGCUGGGUGGCUUUGGUGGUGGUUCCAGCCGAGGGUCCUCAGUGCGUCUCAGUGGAGGCGCCUACAGAGCUCCAACUAUCCAUGGGGGAUCUGGUGGCUACUCAGUUUCUUCCUCUCGAAUGAUUUCUGGUGUUGGAAGUGGUAUGGGCGGUGGCUAUGGAGGGAGCUACUGUAGCAGUGUGGGAGGAGGCUUUGGUGGUGGCAGCUUCGGUGGUGGCAGCUUUGGUGGUGGCAGCUUCGGUGGUGGCAGCUUUGGUGGUGGAUUUGGUGGUGGACUUGGCAGUGGCUUUGGUGGUGGCUCUGGCGGUGGAUUUGGCAGUGGCUUUGGUGGGCCCUUUGUGGGAGGCGAUGGCAUUCUCCCUGCUGGGGAGAAGGAAACCAUGCAGAACCUGAACGACCGCCUGGCUGCCUACCUGGACAAGGUGCGCGCUCUGGAGGAGGCCAACAGUGAGCUGGAGAUUAAGAUCAGGGACUGGUAUAAGAAGCAAGGCCCUGGUCCAGACCGUGACUACAGCCCAUACUACAGGACCAUCGAGGAUCUGAGGAACAAGAUCCUUGCUGCAACUGUUGACAAUGCCAACCUCAUCUUGCAGAUUGACAAUGCCAGGCUGGCAGCUGAUGACUUCAGAACCAAGUUUGAGACUGAGCAGGCCCUGCGCAUGAGUGUUGAGGCUGACAUCAAUGGCCUGCGUAGAGUCCUGGAUGAGCUGACCCUGGCCAGAGCUGACUUGGAGAUGCAGAUUGAGAAUCUGAAGGAGGAGCUGGCUUACCUCAAGAAGAACCAUGAGGAGGAAAUGAAUGCCUUACGUGGCCAAGUGGGUGGAGAAAUCAAUGUGGAGAUGGAUGCUGCUCCAGGAGUUGACCUGACCAAGAUCCUGGCUGAAAUGCGAGAACAGUACGAGCACCUGGCUGACAAGAACCGCAGAGAGGCUGAGCAGUGGUUCUUCAAGCAGACAGAAGAACUAAACAAAGAAGUCGCCAUCAACACAGAACAGCUUCAGAGCGGCAAGAGCGAGAUCACGGAGCUCCGGCGCACCAUCCAGGGGUUGGAAAUCGAGCUUCAGUCCCAGCUCAGCACGAAAGCCGCCCUGGAAGGCACCUUGGCUGACACAGAAGCCCGCUACGGCUCCCAGCUGGCGCAGAUCCAGGGCAUGAUCACCAGCGUGGAGGAGCAGCUGGCUGAGCUCCGGUGUGACAUGGAGCGGCAGAACCACGAGUACAAGAUCCUCCUGGAUGUCAAGUGCCGGCUGGAACAGGAGAUCGCUACAUACCGCCGCCUGCUGGAGGGCGAGGAUGUCCAGUACGUGAAUGGAGUUGACUAGAUAGAAUGACAUGGGGCAGGGAGAAGCCUCUGAACUCACUGUGUUCCCUAGAAGGCUCUCUUUGAAAUAAUUACCUGUGGAUCAUGAGCAGUUGAUUAAACCAAGAAGGGAUCGAACAAUGACCUAUCUCCUAUUAGCAUCCUUUGUAAGAGGAUGUAUUUAUUGUCUGCACUACGUAAUGGCUGGCACUGUAGUUUGAGUGGUUAGAGCCAAGACCUGAGAAUAAGAAGGUUGGGGUUUUUUUGCCUUAGUUGUGAUGCUAGCACACUGUGUAAGCUUAAACCCUGAAUUUCAUUCUUAUUUUUCCCGUUUGUAAAAAGGCCUAGGCCACAAAGGUCUGCCUCACUUGAGCACUGGGAGGGACUGUGGGGAGGGGUGGAAUUUAUGUGUAUUGGUGAACUUAGUGAUGCUCAGACCUUUCUGCAAAGGUUUUUCCUCUUGCUGUUAGGAUACUGGUGUAUGUCAGGGAGAAUCCAUUAGCUUGUUGCAAGCAGUGAAAAACAAUCUCAGAACAAAUAUUGUCAGAUACUCUUCUAAAAUAAUGAUUUCCCUGGUUUGGGGUAUAAGGUUUU